AUUGAACGCUGGCGGCAGGCCUAACACAUGCAAGUCGAGCGAGCGGCGGACGGGUGAGUAAUGUAUGGAGACUGGCAGAUAGGGGGGGAUAACUACUGGAAACUGUGGCUAAUACCGCGUACUAUAGGAUAACCCAUAUGGGAUUAGCUAGUAGGUGGGGUAAGGGCUCACCUAGGCUACGAUCUCUAGCUGGUCUGAGAGGAUGAAGAGCCACACCGGGACUGAGACACGGCCCAGACUCCUACGGCGGCAGCAGUGGGGAAUAUUGCACAAUGGGCGCAAGCCUGAUGCAGCCAUGCCGCGGGUAUGAAGAAGGCUUUAGGGUUGUAAAGUACUUUCAGCGGGGAGGCGUGACCCGCAGAAGAAGCACCGGCUAACUCCGUGACAGCAGCCGCGGUAAUAC
rnacentral:rRNA from 1 species